rnacentral:rRNA from 1 species
GUCCUAGCCGUAAACGAUGGACACUAGGUGUCGGGGGUGUCGACUCCCUCGGUGCCGAAGCUAACGCAUUAAGUGUCCCGCCUGGGGAGUACGGCCGCAAGGCUAAAACUCAAAGGAAUUGACGGGGGCCCGCACAAGCAGUGGAGCAUGUGGUUUAAUUCGACGCAACGCGAAGAACCUUACCUGGGCUUGACAUGUACGUGGUAGGAAUUGGAAACAUGACCGACCCCUCGGGGAGCGUACACAGGUGGUGCAUGGCUGUCGU